rnacentral:rRNA from 1 species
UACGGAGGGUGCGAGCGUUGUCCGGAAUCACUGGGCGUAAAGGGCGUGUAGGCGGUCUGGUAAGUGGGAUGUGAAAGCCCCCGGCUCACCCGGGGAUCUGCAUUCCAAACUGCCAGACUUGAGUAUGGGAGAGGACAGGGGAAUUCCUGGUGUAGCGGUGAAAUGCGUAGAUAUCAGGAGGAACACCGGUGGCGAAGGCGCCUGUCUGGCCCAAUACUGACGCUGAGGCGCGAAAGCUAGGGGAGCAAACGGG